UUCUCAGUAGCUUAGUUGGCAGAGCGUGCGGCUGUUAACCGCAAGGUCGUUGGUUCAAAUCCAAUCUGAGAAG
rnacentral:tRNA from 1 species